rnacentral:snoRNA from 1 species
CCCAUUGGCGAAGAUGAACUCAUCUCCUUCUUAAUCGCCGAUCUCGACAUGGAAUACCAGCCCAUCAUCUCUGCUAUCGAUGUGCAAACUGAUCUUGUCUCCACUGAUGAGCUCUUUGGCAUGAUCUCCAACUUCGAUC